AAAAUUAUUUUUGUUGCUACUUUAUAACUAAUUUUACUACUGAUAUGAAUUGUAAUAUACAUUUCUGACAUACAGGAUAUCUGACUCACAAAGGGGUGGCAAGCCACAUGUUGGGAACUGCUGUUUUAGGAGCUUAAAAAUAGCAUCCACUGGGUGCUUCCUUGGUUCCAGUCAGUGUUCUGAGCUCUUUACCAGCAUCUCCUCAUCUAAUCCCCAGGGACUCUGGCAAGAGGCGCUGCCUUGCCUAUGAGGAAGCUGAAGCACAGAGAGAUUAAGGCACUGGUGGGGACCGGAGAGAUGUCUCAGAGGCUAAGCCUCUCCUGUCCUUGUUGAGGACCUGAAUUCAGUUGCCAGCAGCUCACAACCAGCUGGAACUCCAGCUCCGGGGGAUCUGACACCCUCUUCUGCCCUUCUAGAACUACCAUAUUCAUGUGCACACACUCAUAUACAAAUCACUUAAAAUACAAAUAAACAUUCUACUAAAGGCUGCUGAGACGGCUCACUAGGUAAAGGCCCUGGAUGACCCAAGUUCAGUUCCUGGGAGCCACAGAGUAGAAGGAGGGAACCAACACCUGCAAGCUGUUCUCUG
rnacentral:lncRNA from 1 species